ensembl:lncRNA
AUUGGAGAGAAGAGGAGAGGAGAGAAGAGGAGGGGAGAGAAGAGAGAGGAGAGAGGAUUUGGAGAGAAGAGGAGAGGAAAGAGGAGAUGAGAAAAGAGGAGUGGAGAGAAGAGGAGAGGGGAGGAGGGGAGAGAAGAGGAGGGGGAGAAGAGAGGGGAGAAGAGAAGAGGAGGGAAGAGGAGAGGAGAGAAGAGGAGAGGAGAGAAGAGGAGGGGAGAGAAGAGGAGGGGAAGAAGAGGAGGGGAGAGAAGAGGAGAUGAGAGAAGAGGAGGGGAGAGAAGAGGAGGGGAGAGAAGAGGAGAGGAGGGAAGAGGAGAGAAGAGGAGGGGAGAGAAGAGGAGGGGGAGAAAAGGAGGGGAGAGAAGAGGAGAGGAGAGAAGAGGAGGGGAGAGAAGAGGAGAGGAGGGAAGGGGAGAGAAGAGGAGGGGAGAGAAGAGGAGAGAAGAGGAGGGGAGAGAAGAGGAGGGGGAGAAGAGGAGGGGGAGAAGAGGAGUGGAGAGAAGAGGGGGAGAGAAGAGGAGAGGAGGGAAGAGGAGAGGAGAGAAGAGGAGAGAGAGGAGAGGAGAGAAGAGGAGGGGGAGAAGAGGAGGGGAGAGAAGAGGAGAUGAGAGAAGAGGAGGGGGAGAAGAGGAGGGGAGAGAAGAGGAGGGGGAGAAGAGGAGUGGAGAGAAGAGGAGGGGAGAGAAGAGGAGAGGAAAGAGGAGAGGAGAGAAGAGGAGGGGGAGAAGAGGAGGGGAGAGAAGAGGAGUGGAGAGAAGAGGAGAGGAGAGAAGAGGAGGGGAGAGAAGAGGAGAGGAGAGAAGAGGAGUGGAGAGAAGAGGAGAGGAAAGAGGAGAUGAGAAAAGAGGAGUGGAGAGAAGAGGAGAGGAGAGAGGAGGAGGGGAGAGAAGAGGAGGGGGAGAAGAGGAGGGGAGAGAAGAGGAGAGGAGAGAAGAGGAGGGGGAGAAGGAGGGAGAGAAGAGGAGAGAAGAGGAGAGGAGAGAAGAGGAGGGGAGAGAAGAGGAGGGGGAGAAGAGGAGGGGAGAGAAGAGGAGAGGAGUGGAGAGAAGAGGAGAGGAGAGAAGAGGAGAGGAGAGAAGAGGAGGGGAGAGGGGGGGAGAGAAGAGGAGAGGAGAGAAGAGGAGGGGAGAGAAGAGGAGGGGGAGAAAAUGAGGGGAGAGAAGAGGAGGGGAGAGAAGAGGAGAGGAGGGAAGAGGAGAGAAGAGGAGGGGAGAGAAGAGGAGAGAAGAGGAGGGGAGAGAAGAGGAGGGGGAGAAAGAGAGGGAAGGGGAGAGAAGAGGAGGG